rnacentral:tRNA from 10 species
GGAAGGGUGGCCGAGUGGUUUAAGGCACCGGUCUUGAAAACCGGCGUGCCCGCAAGGGCACCGUGGGUUCGAAUCCCACCCCUUCCGCCA